rnacentral:tRNA from 1 species
GCCGAGGUGGCGGAAUUGGUAGACGCGCUAGCUUCAGGAGCUAGUAACCGCAAGGUUGUAGGAGUUCGAGUCUCCUCCCCGGCA